rnacentral:rRNA from 1 species
GACGAACGCUGGCGGCGUGCUUAACGCAUGCAAGUCGAACGGAAAGGCCUGCUUUCCCUUGUGGAUUGCGGGUACUCGAGUGGCGAACGGGUGAGUAACACGUGAGUGAUCUGCCCCCAACUUGGGUAUAAGCCUGGGAAACUGGGUCUAAUUCCCGAUAGGACUGCAGGGUGGUGCCUGUGGUGGAAAACGAUUUUCUAGUGGUUGGGGAUGAGCUCGCGGCCUAUCAGCUUGUUGGUGGGGUAAUGGCCUACCAAGGCGGCGACGGGUAGCCGGCCUGAGAGGGUGGACGGCCACAUUGGGACUGGGAUACGGCCCAGACUCCUACGGGAGGCAGCAGUGGGGAAUAUUGCACAAUGGGCGGAAGCCUGAUGCAGCGACGCCGCGUGGGGGAUGACGGCCUUCGGGUUGUAAACUCCUUUCGACCGCGAGGAAGCCACCUGGUUGGAAGGGUGGUGACGGUAGUGGUAGAAGAAGCACCGGCUAACUACGUG